GAUGAACGCUAGCGGCAGGCCUAAUACAUGCAAGUCGAACGAGAUUGAGGAGCUUGCUCUUCAUGAAAGUGGCGCACGGGUGCGUAACGCGUAUGCAACCUACCUUAAUCAGGGGGAUAGCCUCUCGAAAGAGAGAUUAACAUCGCAUAAAAUCACAGUCUGGCAUCAGAUAAUGAUCAACUAUUCAUAGGAUUAAGAUAGGCAUGCGUGACAUGAGUUAGUUGGUGAGGUAACGGCUCACCAAGACCACGAUGUCUAGGGGAACUGAGAGGAUGACCCCCCACACUGGUACUGAGACACGGACCAGACUCCUACGGGAGGCAGCAGUAAGGAAUAUUGGUCAAUGGAGGCAACUCUGAACCAGCCAUGCCGCGUGCAGGAAGACGGCCCUACGGGUUGUAAACUGCUUUUAUACGGGAAUAAACCUCAUUACGUGUAAUGAGCUGAAUGUACUGUAAGAAUAAGGAUCGGCUAACUCCGUGCCAGCCGCCGCGGUAAGAC
rnacentral:rRNA from 1 species